AUGCAACUCAGCAGCCUGAAAAAGGAAACCCCAGGCUCCUGGGACUUCCAGAAAUCGGCAUUGGCUUUGGCAAGAGAGCCAAACCACUUGAGUCCCCCAGGGAGUCUGGGGUUGGCCUGGUUACAUAGGAGCCAGCUGGGACAAGAAGCUGGGAGUUUGGGAGGAUGGGGGAACUUGCAUACCAGCCAGGCAGGCAGGUCACUGCCACUGGGCAGGGAUGGCAAAACCAGGAGGCCCACUCCAGUUCAGGCCUGCUGGUCCCCAUUGCCAUCCCCUGCUACCUCCCAACCAGCAGCCAGGAGGCAGGGAUGGCUCCUUGCCCCACUUUGGGGGAGGGCCCAGGCUGGACACAGUGGCAAGCAUAGUAUCUAAAGGUGCCCUUGGCCCCAGGACCUGGGCAGCCCACCACCCUUUUGGCAUUUCCAUCUAGGCAGAGAAGAGGCCUUUUUCCAGGCAGGGCUUUGGGGAUCUGGAGGAAGGGAGGCCAGGGUGUAGAAACCAAUGGGGCUUGUCAGCAAAGGGAUCCUGUCCUGCUGAGGCUGGAGUCUAUUCUUCUCACUGAGUGUCCUGUGGCCAGAUCUCUGUUCAGGGCCUAGGGAAAGAGAGGCCCAUCCUGGCUUGAGGGACAGACAUGGCCCUGCCUUCAAAGCACUUCCUGUUUAGAAGGGAGGUUGGUCCCCCACACCUCUCCAUGCCCACAUGGGCAUGUGGACACUGAGCUCAGGGCACCGUUGCCAGGGCCGUGUGGCCUGGUGGCGAGGACCCUCGCCUGGGGGCCUCACUAAAUUCUCUGCCUUGCUGGGUCUCCAUUCCCUCUCUGUCAAGCAAAGGGCUGAAACUCCCAGGGCUCCGAGGCCUUUCUCAGCACAAACAUUCUGAAAUCCAUAUGGCUUCUCCUUGAGUUUCGUUUGGUGGCACGCCAGGGUUAGGGCUUAUGGAUGGGAGUUGAGAUUUGACACGCCCCAUCCCUGUUCCCAUUGCCUCCAACAGCGUGAGAGGGAAAGGUCAGGGGAAGGGGGUCCUGGGAAAAGAAGCGCUGACAGGCCUCACUUUAUGGAAUAGCUGUGCCCCUGAGAAAUCGCCCACAAAGAAAACUAUUUCACACAUGAAUUGUUUUCUCCACAGCUCAAGAGAGUGCGUGAUUGCCAGGGGCCCUGUGGUGAGCCAGGGUCCUUAGGCAGAGGAAGUGGGUUCGAAUUGCCACUCUGACUUGUUUCUUAUCUCUGUACCCGAAGGGCUAGGACGAUGCACUUAAUAAAUGUGGGUGAAUUGGAUUGGGUGCCUCUCUG
rnacentral:lncRNA from 1 species